UACCGGCAGCUCAAGUGGUAGCCGCGAUUAUUGGGCCUAAAACGUUCGUAGCCGGAUAAGUAAGUCUUUGGUUAAAUCCUGCGACUCAACCGUGGGAAUUCUAGAGAUACUGCUUGUCUUGAGACCGGGAGAGGUGAGAGGUACUCCAGGGGUAGGAGUGAAAUCCUGUAAUCCUUGGGGGACCACCUGUGGCGAAGGCGUCUCACUAGAACGGCUCCGACAGUGAGGGACGAAAGCUGGGGGAGCAAACCGGAUUAGAUACCCGGGUAGUCCUAGGCGUAAAUGAUGCGAGUUAAGUGUGGGGGCAUCUACGAGAUGGCCCUGUGCUGUAGGGUAGCCGUUAAACUCGCUGCCUGGGGAGUACGGUCGCAAGGCUGAAACUUAAAGGAAUUGGCGGGGGAGCACCACAAGAGGUGGAGGCUGCGGUUCAAUUGGAUUCAACGCCGGA
rnacentral:rRNA from 1 species